rnacentral:rRNA from 1 species
UUCUGGGAGGAUUGACGAAUUCAGAGCUCUUUCUUGAUUCUGUGGAUGGUGGUGCAUGUUCGUUCUUAGUUGGUGGAGUAAUUUGUCUGGUUAAUUCCGAUAACGAACGAGACUCUUGUCCAUUAAAUAGGCGCGUGGUUCUCUGCACCUUGCACCCUUCAUAGAGGGACAAGUGGCUCCUAGUUGCACGAAACAGAGCAAUAGCAGGUCUGUGAUGCCCUUUGAU